UUUCCACCUCUCAGGUAUUUUGUGUUUUUUUGUGUUUAAUAAGGAAAAGCUGCAGAGCAGGGAGAGAUGGAGGAGGACCAAUAGAAAAUGAGAAGAAGAAUGGAAUUGCACGUAACAGAACCGAUAUACAAGGAAAUAAAAUCAGCCCUGCAGGUUCUGCACAUCGAUAAACAACGCCUGCAAAAUGAGGGUUAUAGAGUUAAGAAUGGGCUGUGGGGGAGAAUCAUCAGGGCAACUGGAAAACCGAACUCCCUCCGAAGGAGACGUCAGUUUUAUGACGUUUGGAGAAAGACAGGUUUAACAUCGCAGUGUGAACCACAGGGACUCCAAGGGUCUUUUCUGCCAAGCCCUGCUUACCCAGCUUCUGCACCACAGGAACUAGUCAAAACCGAACCACAGGAAUUUGGCGAAACUGACCAGUUGUUUAAAAUGGAAAAUGACAGCGAAGGCAUCUCCAGAAAGUGCAAUCAGGUGUAUGACGUCAUAAACCGCUGCCUGUCGACUGAUGAGGCGGUACGAAUUCUAACAAAUGUGGAUGUAAGUAAAGUGAGCUCACUGCAACCAGCGCAUCCCCAGCCUGGAGAGCUUUACUUGUACAAAUAUCAAAAAGGUCAGGGAAAUAGAGGUCAAGACUGGACACCGGAGAAUGCCCUGUGGAUCAACUUGGGUACAAGGAAUGUUCCUCACCCUAGAGGUUACCUGACAGUGAGAUACUUUGUUGCUCGAGGAGAAGGUCAAGAGAUUAGAAGGCGGAUAUAUGAGAUGUCUGAAGAUGUUGGACCGUACAUGUUGGUACAUUACUUAGGUGAGAAUUCACGAUUACGGAGACCUCGUAGACACAUCCAGUUUGGCCAACAGAUGUUUGCACAAACCACGCCUCAAGAGGAACUCAAGAAAGUCGAAGAGGAGCUGGAUAUUUCUGAUGUUUCUGAAGUGCAGAAGAUCACAGAAAACACUCCUGUCAACAGCAAACCACUUGCAGAAACCUUGAUGUCAGCGAGCAUGGAGCAAAAUCCAAACACUGGCGAAGAGUCAGGCAACUUUCUCAACCCCAAAGACAUAAUGGCGACUCAAAUGAUGUGCAGGGAGCUGAAGGACUUCGUUGUUCAUAUGAGUGUUUACCCAGACGUGAUUAUCGUCGCUGCUUUGCCCGAGAUGACCGAGCAGUUCCAAGUGAUGCUGAAGAAUUCAGAUCCAUGCGUAACGCAUAUCCUCUACUACAACAGCACAUUUAACCUGGAGAACUUCUACGUGACGCCUCUUCUUUUUUGCCACAAUGAUUUUGAGGAGAGCCCAACUUUUCCGUUAGCUUUCCACAUUCACCAGUGCCAGAAAGAGAGAGCUCACACCAUAUUUCUAGAGGAACUUCUAUGUCUUCUGCCAGAUCUGAACUCCAAUCGAUUCGUGAUUUGCACUGAUUGCGAGGCUGUCGUCGAGAACUCUGUCAAAAAUGUCUUACCCAACGCUUCUGCAUUCAACAGCUUCCGUCAAGUUCUGUACCAUCUGAGAUACAAAGUGAUGUUUUGUGAAGAGGAUGACAUUGAGGACAAUGUGCAAGGGUACAUGAACAAUUUGAGGAGUCUUAUUUGUUCGGAAACUGAAGAACAAUGGAGGGUUAAACUUGGUUACUUUUCUGUUACCUGGAGCACUGCCUUCCUUGAGUACUUCCAGAUGCACCUGGAGGCCCUGACAAAAAGGUCUGCAAGGUUUACCCUCAAAGCACUUGGCCUACCACAAGAUGAAAAGAUCACUAGUACUUUUCAAGAACUUAGUAUGAUGCUGAUACAGAUGAUGCAUAGGAAACUCAGACUGGAAACAACGGUGUUCACGGCAUUCCAGAUCUCGAUGUACUUCCUAAACGAAGUCUUGAGAAGCAGUUGCAACAUGGGGCCCUACAAACCCACUCCCGCAAGCUCCAGAAGUGCUACCGCCAUGGAUGAUGUUGACUUCCCAGAGUUUGUUAUGACCCCGAAAGAGAUUGUCCACUUCUUUAAGAAAAGUUUGGCUGAUGACAGUGACACCAUGCCAGAGCAGGAGGCAUCAGGAGGGUACGACCUGGCAUCAAUGCGACCAAUGGCAGAACUGAUCAUUGAGAAGAACAAAAUAAGCCUUGAGCCCAGCAUAAAGUCGUUCUUUGUAACGGGGUGGAGGGGCCAGAAAUACGUUGUUAAAGUCUACCCAGAAGAACGAUGCUCUUGCUUCUUGGCUCACCACUGCUGCCACAUACUGGCGGCACGUACGGCUAUCGGAUUAGAGAAGGAAAAGAAGGAAAAACCUUCCUUCAGAUUAUGGAAAAUGUGUCGGACCGCUGAAACAACACCAUUGGGGGAAAAGGGAACCAGUGUUGUACCUCUGAAGGAGGUCAAGUUCACACAGUGUUUCCCAGACGCUUGUGGUGGCGACGCUCACAAUAAGAAUUACCUGAUCCUAGAGGACUCCAGUUCUAGCAGUGAAUCUGAGGAAGCUAACGAAGACUCUGAAUAAAACCUUCCCAUCACAGCUGGUCUACUUUUGUUCUGAAACCAAAGUCUUAUUUUGUUAUUCAGCUAAAAAGCAAGCCUAAGUUGUAUUUUAUUCUCUAAAUAAUGUGGUCUAAUUUUGUUAGCAUGUCUAAUUAAUAGUUGUUAGCCCAUGUUUAAUUUCAUUAUUCAGCCAAUGAGCUAGUCUGAUUUUGUUAUUUAGCCAAUAAGCUAGUCUUAUUUUGUUAAUCAGCCAAUAAGCUGGUCUGAUUUUGUUAUUUAGCAAAAAGCUAGUCUGAUUUUGUUAUUCAGCCAAUAGGCUGCUCUGAUGUUCUUAUUCAGCCAAUACGAUAGUCUGAUUUUGUUAUUCAGUCUAUAAGCUCCCCAGUUUUUGUUAUUUGGCCAAUAAGCUAUGAUUUUGUUAUUUAGCAAAAAGCUGGUCUGAUUUUGUUUUUCAGCCAAUAGGCUGGUCUGAUUUUGUUAUUUAGCCAAUAAGCUGCUUUGAUUUUGUUAUUCAGCCAAUAAGCUGGUCUGAUUUUGUUAUUCAGCCAAUAAGCUAGUCUGAUUUUGCUAUUUUUCCAAUAAGCUAGUCUGAUUUUGUUAAUCAGCUAAUGCAUUGGUCUGAAUCUUGUUAUGAGCCAAUGAGCUUUUUUGUGUUACGCCAGUGUCUGAUUUUGCUACUUAGCCAAUAAGCUAGUCUAAUUUUGAUAUUAAAGCCAAUGAGCUUACUUGCUUGUUUGUUUUUUCAGCAAAUAAACUGUCUGAUUAUGUUAUUCA
rnacentral:lncRNA from 1 species